CAGCCGCCGCGGGAAUACGAGGGGGGCAAGCGUUGUUCGGAAUUAUUGGGCGUAAAGGGUGCGUAGGCGGCUUGACAAGUCUUGUGUGAAAUCUAUGGGCUCAACCCAUAGUCUGCACGGGAAACUGUCAGGCUUGAGAAUGGGAGAGGUGAGUGGAAUUCCCAGUGUAGAGGUGAAAUUCGUAGAUAUUGGGAAGAACACCAGUGGCGAAGGCGACUCUCUGGUCUGUAACUGACGCUGAGGAGCGAAAGCGUGGGGAGCGAACAGGAUUAGAUACCCCUGUAGUCCCUGUCUCUUAUAU
rnacentral:rRNA from 1 species